rnacentral:rRNA from 1 species
CGUACACUCCUGCGGGAGGCAGCAGUGGGGAAUAUUGCACAAUGGGCGCAAGCCUGAUGCAGCCAUGCCGCGUGUAUGAAGAAGGCCUUCGGGUUGUAAAGUACUUUCAGCGGGGAGGAAGGCAAUACGGUUAAUAACCGUGUUGAUUGACGUUACCCGCAGAAGAAGCACCGGCUAACUCCGUGCCAGCAGCCGCGGUAAUACGGAGGGUGCAAGCGUUAAUCGGAAUUACUGGGCGUAAAGCGCACGCAGGCGGUCUGUCAAGUCGGAUGUGAAAUCCCCGGGCUCAACCUGGGAACUGCAUUCGAAACUGGCAGGCUUGAGUCUUGUAGAGGGGGGUAGAAUUCCAGGUGUAGCGGUGAAAUGCGUAGAGAUCUGGAGGAAUACCGGUGGCGAAGGCGGCCCCCUGGACAAAGACUGACGCUCAGGUGCGAAAGCGUGGGGAGCAAACAGGAUUAGAUACCCCGGUAGUCCCAU